CACUAACUCUGGCGGCAUGCCUAACACAUGCAAGUCGAACGAGACCUUCGGGUCUAGUGGCGCACGGGUGCGUAACGCGUGGGAACCUGCCCUUAGGUUCGGAAUAACUCCCCGAAAGGGGUGCUAAUACCGGAUAAUGUCUUCGGACCAAAGAUUUAUCGCCUUUGGAUGGGCCCGCGUUGGAUUAGCUAGUUGGUAGGGUAAAAGCCUACCAAGGCGACGAUCCAUAGCUGGUCUGAGAGGAUGAUCAGCCACACUGGGACUGAGACACGGCCCAGACUCCUACGGGAGGCAGCAGUGGGGAAUAUUGGACAAUGGGCGAAAGCCUGAUCCAGCAAUGCCGCGUGAGUGAUGAAGGCCUUAGGGUUGUAAAGCUCUUUUACCCGGGAUGAUAAUGACAGUACCGGGAGAAUAAGCGCCGGCUAACUCCGUG
rnacentral:rRNA from 1 species